rnacentral:rRNA from 1 species
GGGUUGUGAGGUUAAGCGACUAAGCGUACACGGUGGAUGCCCUGGCAGUCAGAGGCGAUGAAGGGCGUGCUAAUCUGCGAUAAGCGCCGGUAAGGUGAUAUGAACCGUUAUAACCGGCGAUACCCGAAUGGGGAAACCCAGUGUGACUCGUCACACUAUCAUUAACUGAAUCCAUAGGUUAAUGAGGCGAACCGGGGGAACUGAAACAUCUAAGUACCCCGAGGAAAAGAAAUCAACCGAGAUUCCCCCAGUAGCGGCGAGCGAACGGGGAGGAGCCCAGAGCCUGAAUCAGCAUGUGUGUUAGUGGAAGCGUCUGGAAAGGCGCGCGAUACAGGGUGACAGCCCCGUACACAAAAGCGCAUGUGCUGUGAGCUCGAUGAGUAGGGCGGGACACGUGGUAUCCUGUCUGAAUAUGGGGGGACCAUCCUCCAAGGCUAAAUACUCCUGACUGACCGAUAGUGAACCAGUACCGUGAGGGAAAGGCGAAAAGAACCCCGGCGAGGGGAGUGAAAAAGAACCUGAAACCGUGUACGUACAAGCAGUGGGAGCACAGGUUUACCUGUGUGACUGCGUACCUUUUGUAUAAUGGGUCAGCGACUUAUAUUCUGUAGCAAGGUUAACCGUAUAGGGGAGCCGUAGGGAAACCGAGUCUUAACCGGGCGUUAAGUUGCAGGGUAUAGACCCGAAACCCGGUGAUCUAGCCAUGGGCAGGUUGAAGGUUGGGUAACACUAACUGGAGGACCGAACCGACUAAUGUUGAAAAAUUAGCGGAUGACCUGUGGCUGGGGGUGAAAGGCCAAUCAAACCGGGAGAUAGCUGGUUCUCCCCGAAAGCUAUUUAGGUAGCGCCUCGUGAAUUCAUCUCCGGGGGUAGAGCACUGUUUCGGCUAGGGGGCCAUCCCGGCUUACCAACCCGAUGCAAACUGCGAAUACCGGAGAAUGUUAUCACGGGAGACACACGGCGGGUGCUAACGUCCGUCGUGAAGAGGGAAACAACCCAGACCGCCAGCUAAGGUCCCAAAGUCAUGGUUAAGUGGGAAACGAUGUGGGAAGGCCCAGACAGCCAGGAUGUUGGCUUAGAAGCAGCCAUCAUUUAAAGAAAGCGUAAUAGCUCACUGGUCGAGUCGGCCUGCGCGGAAGAUGUAACGGGGCUAAACCAUGCACCGAAGCUGCGGCAGCGACGCUGAUGCGUUGUUGGGUAGGGGAGCGUUCUGUAAGCCUGCGAAGGUGGCCUGUGAGGGUUGCUGGAGGUAUCAGAAGUGCGAAUGCUGACAUAAGUAACGAUAAAGCGGGUGAAAAGCCCGCUCGCCGGAAGACCAAGGGUUCCUGUCCAACGUUAAUCGGGGCAGG